AUCUUCCACAAUGGACGGAAGUCUGCUGGAGCAACGCCGCGUGAGCGAAGAAGGUUUUCGGAUCGUCAAGCUCUGUUGUAAGGGAAGAACACGUACAGCAGUAACUGCCUGUACCUUGACGGUACCUUACCCGAAAGCCAACGCUAACAACGUGCAAGCAGCCGCGGUAAUACGGAGGUGGCAGCCGUUGGCCGGAAUUAUUGGGGGUAAAGGGCGCGGAGGAAGUCCUUUAAGUCUGAUGUGAAAGCCCACGGCUCAACCGUGGAGGGUCAUUGGAAACUGGAGGACUUGAGUACAGAAGAGGAAAGCGGAAUUCCACGUGUAGCGGUGAAAUGCGUAGAGAUGUAGAGGAACACCAGUGGCGAAGGCGGCUUUCUGGUCUGUAACUGACGCUGAGGCGCGAAAGCGUGGGGAGC
rnacentral:rRNA from 1 species